AUGGGAUUUGCUAGUUCUUUACUAAAGGAAAUAUUUUUUGGUAGGAAAAUCAACUCCAAAAAUUAUAAUAAGGUUGAUAGUACUACUAAUUUUACUUAUGUUUGUAGAGAUGAGUUGGAUAAGAAAAAGCCCAAAAUCAAAAAACAAGUGAAAUUUGAUUUAGAACCUAAAUGCCAGCAAGAAGAAGAAACAAGUACCCUUUUGGAGUUGAACAAAAAUAGUGGUACUUCUUUGGAGAAAUAUAAAGUUAGCGGUGGCGGUGAUGAUAAUGAUCAUGCAAAUAGUGACGGG